rnacentral:rRNA from 1 species
GUGGGGAAUAUUGGGCAAUGGGGGAACCCCUGACCCAGCAACGCCGCGUGAGUGAAGAAGGCCUUCGGGUUGUAAAGCUCUGUCAUUAGGGAAGAAGAAGUGACGGUACCUAAUGAGGAAGCCCCGGCUAACUACGUGCCAGCAGCCGCGGUAAUACGUAGGGGGCGAGCGUUGUCCGGAAUUACUGGGCGUAAAGGGUGCGUAGGCGGCGUGUUAAGUUGGAUGUGAAAUACCCGGGCUUAACAUGGGGGGUGCAUUCGAUACUGGCAGGCUAGAGUGCAGGAGAGGGAAGCGGAAUUCCUAGUGUAGCGGUGAAAUGCGUAGAUAUUAGGGGGAACACCAGUGGCGAAGGCGGCUUUCUGGACUGUAACUGACGCUGAUGCACGAAAGCGUGGGGAGCAAACAGGAUUAGAAACCCCGGUAGUCC